rfam:Triticum aestivum genome assembly, contig: Triticum_aestivum_CS42_TGACv1_scaffold_030303_1BL
GUGGUACUCCCUCCGUCCGGAAAUACUUGCCAUGAAAAUGAAUAAAAGAUGAUGUAUCUAGAUGUAUUUUAGUUCUAGAUACAUCCCUUUUUGUCCAUUUUGAUGACAAGUAUUUUCGGACGGAGGGAGUAUAUC